rnacentral:rRNA from 1 species
ACUCCUACGGGAGGCAGCAGUGGGGAAUAUUGCACAAUGGGCGCAAGCCUGAUGCAGCCAUGCCGCGUGUGUGAAGAAGGCCUUCGGGUUGUAAAGCACUUUCAGUUGUGAGGAAGGUGGUGUCGUUAAUAGCGGCAUCAUUUGACGUUAGCAACAGAAGAAGCACCGGCUAACUCCGUGCCAGCAGCCGCGGUAAUACGGAGGGUGCGAGCGUUAAUCGGAAUUACUGGGCGUAAAGCGCAUGCAGGUGGUUUGUUAAGUCAGAUGUGAAAGCCCGGGGCUCAACCUCGGAACUGCAUUUGAAACUGGCAGACUAGAGUACUGUAGAGGGGGGUAGAAUUUCAGGUGUAGCGGUGAAAUGCGUAGAGAUCUGAAGGAAUACCGGUGGCGAAAGGCGGCCCCCUGGACAGAUACUGACACUCAGAUGCGAAAGCGUGGGGAGCAAACAGGAUUAGAUACCCUGGUAGCACAGAGAG